rnacentral:rRNA from 1 species
AUUGAACGCUGGCGGCAUGCCUUACACAUGCAAGUCGAACGGCAGCACGGGUGCUUGCACCUGGUGGCGAGUGGCGAACGGGUGAGUAAUACAUCGGAACAUGUCCUGUAGUGGGGGAUAGCCCGGCGAAAGCCGGAUUAAUACCGCAUACGAUCUACGGAUGAAAUCGGGGGACCUUCGGGCCUCGCGCUAUAGGGUUGGCCGAUGGCUGAUUAGCUAGUUGGUGGGGUAAAGGCCUACCAAGGCGACGAUCAGUAGCUGGUCUGAGAGGACGACCAGCAACACUGGGACUGAGACACGGACCAGACUCCUACGGGAGGCAGCAGUGGGGAAUUUUGGACAAAGGGCGAAAGCCUGAUCCAGCAAUGCCGCGUGUGUGAAGAAGGCCUUCGGGUUGUAAAGCACUUUUGUCCGGAAAGAAAUCCUUGGCCCUAAUACGGUCGGGGGAUGACGGUACCGGAAGAAUAAGCACCGGCUAACUACGUG